rnacentral:lncRNA from 1 species
CCAGACAAUAAAAUGAUGGGAUAGAAAAGCAGGGCCAUAUUUUUCAUAUUGAAAUUUAUAACCAAACUUUUAUACAAAACACAAACCAUUUCAUAACUAUUCACAUCAAAAUGGAAAUCUCAAAAGAAGAUAGGAUCUCAAUCCAUCCAGGCCGUACUCAAGACCCCUCUCGGGACUAUCUUCUUCUUCCAAAAUUCUUCUCCUCAGGUUUUACCUCCGAGUUCUCCUUCCUAGACUCCUCCUCCUCAGCUCCUCAUCGGGGUCCUGAAAUGUUUUCCCCAAACUGGGAUGAGACUACGUCUCAGCGAGUUCUACCCCACUAA